CCUACGGGAGGCAGCAGUGAGGAAUAUUGGUCAAUGGGCGCGAGCCUGAACCAGCCAAGUCGCGUGAGGGAUGACGGUCCUAUGGGUUGUAAACCUCUUUUGUCGGGGAGCAAAAGACGCCACGCGUGGCGUUCCGUGAGUACCCGAUGAAUAAGCAUCGGCUAACUCCGUGCCAGCAGCCGCGGUAAUACGGAGGAUGCGAGCGUUAUCCGGAUUUAUUGGGUUUAAAGGGUGCGCAGGCGGAAGAGCAAGUCAGCGGUAAAAUUGAGAGGCUCAACCUCUUCGAGCCGUUGAAACUGGGUUUCUUGAGUGAGUGAGAAGUAUGCGGAAUGCGUGGUGUAGCGGUGAAAUGCAUAGAUAUCACGCAGAACUCCGAUUGCGAAGGCAGCAUACCGGCGCUCAACUGACGCUCAUGCACGAAAGUGUGGGUAUCGAACAGGAUUAGAUACCCUUGUAGUC
rnacentral:rRNA from 1 species